UAAUAGGAUUCGGGUACUUAUCAUACAUUUUCGAUUUCUUCACAGCAUCAGCAUUAUGCAACACGCUGCAAGGCACCACCUCAAACCCAACAACCAUAUAACCAGGCACGUCAUCAUUUACCUUGGUAGGAAAGACAUCUGCGGCAUCCCCAGUACCCAUAACACGGGCAACAUUGGCCUCCUCAUACUUAUGCACAAGGACCUUAAACUUCAAAUGGUUAAACACAUAAUAGGCAUCUUGAUACUUAACCCCAACCGGAAACCCAGUCCACCUCAAAAGAAAACCAUCUUUCUUAGUAUACCUGAUAGCGGGCAAAUUAUCGAGAAUCAAAUUAACCUGAUACAUCUCAUCAAUCCUCCGCUUCAACAACUCAAAAUUAU
rnacentral:lncRNA from 1 species